CAGUCGCCGCGGUAAUACGAAGGGUGCAAGCGUUAACCGGAAUUACUGGGCGUAAAGCGUGCGUAGGCGGUGAGUUAAGUCUGCUGUGAAAUCCCCGGGCUCAACCUGGGAAUGGCAGUGGAUACUGGCUCGCUAGAGUGUGUCAGAGGAUGGUGGAAUUCCCGGUGUAGCGGUGAAAUGCGUAGAGAUCGGGAGGAACAUCAGUGGCGAAGGCGGCCAUCUGGGACAACACUGACGCUGAGGCACGAAAGCGUGGGGAGCAAACAGGAUUAGAUACCCCCGUAGUCCCUGUCUCUUAUAC
rnacentral:rRNA from 1 species